rnacentral:tRNA from 1 species
AAUGAAAUAGUUCAGUUGGUAGAACGUUGGAAUCAUACCCCAAAGGUCAAGGGUUCAACUCCCUUUUUCAUUA